rnacentral:rRNA from 1 species
GAUGAACGCUGGCGGCGUGCCUAAUACAUGCAAGUCGAGCGAACGGACGAGAAGCUUGCUUCUCUGAUGUUAGCGGCGGACGGGUGAGUAACACGUGGAUAACCUACCUAUAAGACUGGGAUAACCUCGGGAAACCGGAGCUAAUACCGGAGAAUAUUUUGAACCGCAUGGUUCAAAAGUGAAAGACGGUCUUGCUGUCACUUAUAGAUGGAUCCGCGCUGCAUUAGCUAGUUGGUAAGGUAACGGCUUACCAAGGCAACGAUGCAUAGCCGACCUGAGAGGGUGAUCGGCCACACUGGAACUGAGACACGGUCCAUACUCCUACGGGAGGCAGCAGUAGGGAAUCUUCCGCAAUGGGCGAAAGCCUGACGGAGCAACGCCGCGUGAGUGAUGAAGGUCUUCGGAUCGUAAAACUCUGUUAUUAGGGAAGAACAUAUGUGUAAGUAACUGUGCACAUCUUGACGGUACCUAAUCAGAAAGCCACGGCUAACUACGUG